UUCAGAUUGCAGGCUGCAACUCGCCUGCAUGAAGUCGGAAUUGCUAGUAAUCGUGGAUCAGCAUGCCACGGUGAAUACGUUCCCGGGCCUUGUACACACCGCCCGUCACACCAUGGGAGUCGGUAACACCCGAAGCCUGUAGUCUAACCGCAAGGAGGACGCAGUCGAAGGUGGGAUUGAUGACUGGGGUGAAGUCGUAACAAGGUACC
rnacentral:rRNA from 1 species